GUUAUUAAAGAUUUAUCGGUAACCGAGGGGGAUGCGUUCCAUUAGGCAGUUGGGGGGGUAACGGCCCACCAAACCGACGAUGGAUAGGGGUUCUGAGAGGAAGGUCCCCCACAUUGGAACUGAGACACGGUCCAAACUCCUACGGGAGGCAGCAGUGAGGAAUAUUGGUCAAUGGGCGAGAGCCUGAACCAGCCAAGUAGCGUGAAGGAUGACUGCCCUAUGGGUUGUAAACUUCUUUUAUGGGGGAAUAACAAGCGGCACGUGUGCCGUUCUGCAUGUACCGUAUGAAUAAGCAUCGGCUAACUCCGUGCCAGCAGCCGCGGUAAUACGGAGGAGCGGAGCGUUAUCCGGAUUUAUUGGGUUUAAAGGGAGCGCAGACGGGUCUUUAAGUCAGUUGUGAAAGUUUGCGGCUCAACCGUAAAAUUGCAGUUGAUACUGGAGACCUUGAGUGCGGUAUAGGCAGGCGGAAUUC
rnacentral:rRNA from 1 species